UCUUUAUAUAAGAAUUUAUAUUUUUAUUUUAGAUGUUUUUAUUAACUAUAUUUUUUUAUAUUUUAUUGGGGUAAUAGGGAGAUUAUAUAAAUUCUUUUUAAAGUUUAACAAUAAUAAUUGAUUAAUUGAUCCAUUUAUAGUGAUUAUAAGAUUAAGU
rnacentral:rRNA from 1 species